rnacentral:rRNA from 1 species
GACGAACGCUGGCGGCGUGCCUAAUACAUGCAAGUAGAACGCUGAAGGAGGAGCUUGCUCUUCUGGAUGAGUUGCGAACGGGUGAGUAACGCGUAGGUAACCUGCCUGGUAGCGGGGGAUAACUAUUGGAAACGACAGCUAAUACCGCAUAAGAGUAGAUGUUGCAUGACAUUUGCUUAAAAGGUGCAAUUGCACCACUACCAGAUGGACCUGCGUUGUAUUAGCUAGUUGGUGGGGUAACGGCUCACCAAGGCGACGAUACAUAGCCGACCUGAGAGGGUGAUCGGCCACACUGGGACUGAGACACGGCCCAGACUCCUACGGGAGGCAGCAGUAGGGAAUCUUCGGCAAUGGACGGAAGUCUGACCGAGCAACGCCGCGUGAGUGAAGAAGGUUUUCGGAUCGUAAAGCUCUGUUGUAAGAGAAGAACGAGUGUGAGAGUGGAAAGUUCACACUGUGACGGUAUCUUACCAGAAAGGGACGGCUAACUACGUGC